UACAGAGGUCCCAAGCGUUGUUCGGAUUCACUGGGCGUAAAGGGUGCGUAGGUGGUUAGGUAAGUCUGAUGUGAAAUCUCUGGGCUCAACCCAGAAACUGCAUUGGAUACUAUCUAGCUAGAGGAGUGGAGGGGGGACUGGAAUACUUGGUGUAGCAGUGAAAUGCGUAGAUAUCAGGAGGAACACCGGUGGCGAAGGCAGCCCCCUGGGUUAACACUGACGCUCAGGCACGAAAG
rnacentral:rRNA from 1 species